rnacentral:rRNA from 1 species
AGUGAACGCUGGCGGUAGGCCUAACACAUGCAAGUCGAACGGCAGCACCCUACUUUCUUGCUCUUACGGGUUGCGAGUCGCGUACGGGUCAGGAAUAUAUCGUAAUCUACUUUUUCGUGUGGGUUCACGUAGCUAAACUUACUCUCAUACCGCAUCCGACCUACGGGUGAAAGCAUUGGAUCUUCGGACCUUGUGCGAUUGAAUGCGCCGGUUUCGGAUUAGCUAGUUGGCGGGGUACAGGCCCACCAAGGCGACGAUCCGUAGCUGGUCUGAGAGGAUGAUGAGCCACAGUGGAAGUGAGACACGGUCUAGAGACCGACGGGAGGCAGAAGUGGGGAAGAUUGGAAAAUGGGGGCAAGACUGAACCAGCCAUAGCACGUGGGUGAAGAAGGCCUUCGGGUUGUAAAGCCCUUUUGUGGGGAAAGAAAAGCAGCAGGUUAAAACCACGGUGAGCUAACGGUACCCAAAGAAUAAGCACCGGCUAACUUCGU